rnacentral:rRNA from 1 species
GUUCUGACCAAGUCUCGUGCCAGCAGUCGCGGUAAAACGAGGGGAGCAAACGUUAAUUAGAAAACUAGGUCUAAAGGGUCCGAAGGUGGCUAGAUAAAUAUAAGGAACCAAAACCUUAAUAAACUGUCUGUAUUUAAGAAAAAAAACUUAGAUCGAAGCUAGAGUAAUAAAGAAGUAUAAUGAAUGUUCAAAUAAGUGAUGAUAUAUGUAACUUGAAUAGACAGAAGAGCGAAGGCCUUAUACUAUAAAUUACUGACACUACAGGACGAAAGCUAGGGUAGCAAGCCGGAUUCGAUACCCGAGUAGUCCUAGCCGUAAACUAUGAAUGCUGAUUUUACUGUAUAUAUAAUAUACUAAUAGUAAAAAAAAAGUGAAGACAAUAAGCAUUCCACCUGAAGAGUAAAUUCGCAAGGAUGAAAUUCAAGACAUUAGGCGGUUACAGACUCAAGCAGUGAAGCAU